AUGGCUGGAGGCGGAGAAGAAAAGGUGAAGCUGCUGGGAACAUGGGCGAGCCCGUUCGUCCUGCGAGCGCAGCUCGCGCUCAGCUUCAAGGGUGUGAGCUUCGAGAACGUCGACGAGGACCUCAGCAGCAAGAGCGACCUCCUCCUGCGCUCCAACCCCGUGCACAAGGCGGUGCCAGUGCUCAUCCACAACGGCAGGCCCGUCUGCGAGUCGCUGGUCAUCGUGCAGUACGUCAACGAGGCCUUCGACGGGCCGCCCCUCCUCCCCGCCGACCCCCACGAACGCGCCGUCGCCCGCUUCUGGGCAGCUUUCAUCGGAGACAAGCUAGUGGCACCAUGGCAUAAGGUGUUCACGGCUAAGAUCGAGGAGGAGAAGGCCGAGUGGAUGGAGCAGACGCUGGCGGCGGUGGAUGUCCUGGAGGGGGGCCUCAAGGAAUGCUCCAGGGGCGGGAGCUUCUUCGGCGGCGACAACGUCGGGUACGUUGACGUCGUGCUGGGCGGGGCCGUGCCGUGGGUCUACGGGACGGAGGCGCUCUCCGGUACGAGGCUCUUCGAUGCCGGUAGGGUCCCGCUCCUGGCGGCGUGGUUGGAGCGCUUCGGCGCGCUGGACACAGUCAAGGCCGUCAUGGCAGACAUCCCGACGAGACUGGUCGAGCUCGCCAAGAAGAAGCAGGCCGAAGCCGCGGCCGCAGCUACGGCUGGAGAUUGCUAA
rnacentral:rRNA from 1 species